GACGAACCGUACGAACGUUAUUCGGAAUUACUGGGCUUAAAGGGUGCGUAGGCGGCGCAGUAAGUUGGGUGUGAAAUCCCUCGGCUUAACCGAGGAAUUGCGCCCAAAACUACUGUGCUCGAGGGAGAUAGAGGUGAGCGGAACUUAGGGUGGAGCGGUGAAAUGCGUAGAUAUUGGGAAGAACACCAGAGGCGAAGGCGGGUUGCUGGGCCGACACUGACGCUGAGGCGCGAAAGCCAGGGGAGCAAACGGG
rnacentral:rRNA from 1 species